rnacentral:rRNA from 1 species
UACGGAGGGUGCAAGCGUUGUUCGGAAUUAUUGGGCGUAAAGGGCGUGUAGGCGGUUUGGUAAGUCAGAUGUGAAAGCCCUGGGCUUAACCCAGGAAGUGCAUUUGAAACUACCAGACUUGAGUAUGGGAGAGGAGAGUGGAAUUCCCAGUGUAGAGGUGAAAUUCGUAGAUAUUGGGAGGAACAUCCGUGGCGAAGGCGACUCUCUGGACCAAUACUGACGCUGAGACGCGAAAGCGUGGGGAGCAAACAGG